rnacentral:misc_RNA from 1 species
UAUAUUACUCAAAUACACUGUUCUGGUUUUACAAAACUGUUCUUUAAAGUUUGAUGAUACUUAAAAUUAAAUAAACACGAAAGCCAGGCGGUCGGCAACAUCUCUGUUUAAAGGGCCUUCCAAGUUUAAAGGGCAGAAUGGGGCGACAAGCAAGUAACAGCAAAUAAUUAAGAUUUUGAGUGAAAUUGAGCCUUUUUCUGGCGGAGUUUGCAGCUUUUCAUGAACAUCAGGAAGAGAGGAAGGAAAUGAAAAGCAACCAAGUUGAUGGAGUAGUUUGAAUGAGGAGAAAAGAGGUUGUAAAUAUGACGAGUGUGAUAGGAACGAAGUUUUCUCUCUCUUGUUUCUACGGGAAGGAGGAAAAGGUGAGAAUAACAAGGAUACAUAUUUAAUGUUUUGUGGUAGAUCAUGCUAAAAUGACCGCGUCGUCGACAUUAAUUAAUAACAAAUCACCAAAUGAUGUACAGAAUGAGAUUAAAUGUUUUGAAUAAAUCACAUGGGAUGAAAAAGGCAGCCGGGACAGCUAUAAGGAGAGGCCGAGGGAAGAUGUCGGUGAAAUAUGACGAGCUCAAAAUGCUGGACUCCUUUUAUGCAACUCCAUCACAUGUAAAACCCAAGGCUAGUGCAUCUCAAACUACAGAAAAGGAAAGUCAGACAGAACUCUAGCAAGAAAAACAUCGAAGCACGAAACCCCAGACCCUCAAGACAAGUAUCAGCAGCUGCCUCAGAGAUGGCUUCUUUGCGACACCUUCAGAUGAUGACAUUGAUGAGACUCUCCCUGACCGCCCCAAUUCAGUUAAGAACCAAAUGAUGUACAAAGCAAGAUUAAAUUUUCUGAAUAAAUCACAAGGGAUGAAAAAGGCAGCCAGGACAGCUACAAGGAGAUACCAAGAGAAGAUGUCAGUGAAAUAUGACGAGCUCCAAACGCUGGACUCCUUUUAUGCAACUCCAUCACCUGUAAAACCCAAGAAGGUCAAACUACAGAAAAGGAGAGUCAGACAGAAGUCUAGCAAGAAAAGCAUCAAAGCAUGAAACCCCAAACCCUCAAGACAAGCAUUGGCAGCUGCCUCAGAGAAGGCUUCUUUUGCAGCACCUUCAGAUGAUGACAUUGAUGACACUCUCCCUGGCCUCAAUUUAGUUAAGCUUAACCCAUAAAGGACACCAAUGUUCACAACUACAUUUGCCUACUUGAGUGUGCCGAAGGUACUGAAGACUCUGAGGGCCACUGCAGCGAAGGCCACAGAGCAGGCCAAGGCAACAAAGGGUCUUCCACGCACACUGAAGCAGAACCUAGAUGAACUUGUGAAGCCUGGAUCUCACCUUAAACAGUUUCUUAACAGUAAAAUAUCAGAAGAAAAUUGAUUUAAAGAUUGUAAAAGUCUAGUCAUUUAAUUUUAUUUCCCCCAUUUGUUCUCUGUUAGAUAACUAUAGUGUGUAUUUUCCACCAAGUGCCCACAGGGAGUGUGUGUAAAACUAUCAUUACUCUAGUAUGAGUAGAUAAAUAAUGUCUGUGGAGCUAGUGA